rnacentral:rRNA from 1 species
CCUACGGGGGGCAGCAGUGGGGAAUAUUGCACAAUGGGGGAAACCCUGAUGCAGCGACGCCGCGUGAGGGAAGAAGUAUUUCGGUACGUAAAGCUCUUUCAGCAGGGAAGAAAAUGACGGUACCUGACUAAGAAGCCCCGGCCAACUACGUGACAGCAGCCGCGGUAAUACGGAGGGGGCAAGCGUUAUCCGGAUUUACUGGGUGUAAAGGGAGCGUAGUCGGGAGCGCAGGUCUGGAGUGAAAUCCUAUGGAUUAACCAUGGAACUGCUUUGGAAACUGUGCAGCUGGAGUGCAGGGGAGGUAGGCGGAAUUCCUGGUGUAGCGGUGAAAUGCGUAGAUAUUACGAGGAACACCGGUUGCGAAGGCAGCUUACUGGACUGUAACUGACGUUGAGGCUCGAAAGCGUGGGGAGCAAACAGGAUUAGAUACCCGUGUAGUC